GUGUUACCUGUAUAAAGAGAGUGAGAGAAGACUCGGUGUCACCUGUGUAAAGACAGAGUAAGAGAAAACUAAACUGAAAGUUAAUGGAGAUUACUGUGUAUUUCCUGAUCUCCAGAAAAUUGUGUCAGUUCCUCACUUCAGUGGGUUACUGAAUGGCCAAGGUUUUGCCUACCCAUGCAUUUUAUUUCUCCUUUAUAGCCAUAUCUAAUUCCCUGUUGAGAAAUUACACCUUUCGCAUUGGAUACAUUUUGAUGGACAAUAAUUAGAUACCCUGCUAUUUUCCUGUUAUUACAUGAGAAUGUGACUCAAGUUAGGCCAAAAAAACAAAAAACAAACAAACAAAAAAAAAACCCUUCAAGAAAUUUGAACUUGAUAGAGAACCAAGAAAGGAUAGCAGACUCCUAAUCAGAUGAUACUUAGUAUCAGUAAAUACUUCCUAGUGUCUGAAGGCUUUCAAGCCUUUCAGUCAUUCUUUGUGCUUCCUGUGUUCCUAAAAUAAGUCCUUUUUUUUUUUUUUUGCUUCAGUUAGCCAUAAUUGGUUUCUUCUGCUUGAAACAGAAGAAUCCUUUAAAGCCAGCAAACUUAGCAUUUUAAUAUCUCAUUGUAACAGGAUAAUUUACUUGGCUAGGAGUAACUGAAUUGUCUUGCUGCUCUGUAAACCAAUAUUUUUAUGCAAGGAAAAUCAGGUUAAACUUGAAUAUCCCUGGAAAACUUGAAGAGAAAAAAGAAUUCACAAAAUGACAACCCGGUUGGGGAGUAUGAAAGGUAAAAGAGCAAUCCAGGGUGUUAGCUUUCCUUACACUGGGGGCUGUUGGGCUAAUGACAGAUGAAUGAGCCCCAGUUCACCAGCUGCAGAGACAGUCUUCCCUGACCAUUGCUUCCAGUCACUUGGUUAUUUGGAUUAUCCUUCUGCAUUCUAAUUCUGUUUCCUUCAUUAGAAUUUAUGGAAAAGCCCAUUCAGGCAUGGACAUGAGAACUAAAAAGCUCUAGGAAACAUGGCAGAGACCUAAGUGGGGUAUAUGAAGUAGCAGCUGUCUGGCUCUUGGCAAAGGUCACACUGCACUCUGAGGGUUAUAGUCAGAACAUAAGAAAUUCAACACUACACUCCCUUUCUCUGACCAACACAGUGGGCCUGGGGAGGCAGAGGCACUAGGAGCUCAGUUUUAGAGAAGAUACCAUGAAUAUCUUCAAGAUCCAUUGCUUCCAUUUAAAUGGUGUCACUUCCCUGGCCCUAUCUUCCCACCACUGCAGCCUAAGAUCACAGAGCUAUAUUCCCUUUCCCUAGAAUACAGACCACUGUAAAUACCAGUUUUUCCACCUGUGUAAUAGGUGUUACCUCAGGGUAAUGAUAAAAAUUAAAUUAGAUGGUGUAAAGUAUUUAGCUCUGUGCCUAACAGUAUGCAGUGGUUAUGAUAUUUUAUCAUUAGCCCUAUGAUAAGUUGGUUGGGAUAGGAAAGGGGUUGAAGAUGAGGAAGAAAUUCUUUCUUCACUAUUUUGUCACUAUUAAGAGGGGAAUUUCUGAACAACUGCAUAGUGUGAUACAUAAUACAACUGCUGUAUUAGAGGACUAGGCAUUCAAAGAUUUUUUCCCAUUAGAGAUAAACACAUUGAAAUAUUACUUCUACUUAGAGGAUGUAAAACAGAUACUUAACAGAAAUAUUUUUCUCUCUCUGAGGCAACUGUUUGAUGAAGAUUUUCAGAGAAGUGGAAAGAAUUGUUAGCAAAUUAUCUUCUACUCUGCCUCAUUCACCUGCUGUCGCAUCUCAUUUCUCACCCUGUAUGUCUGCCACCUUCGGGGCCUCCUAACGUGGCUGUUUUUGCCAACACUAUUUUCUUAGUUUCUACUGUCACUACCAGGCCUCAGGAUCAUAUUUCCCAAGGAAGGAUUCUUCUCAAGCAUCUCAGUUGCUUCCUUCCGGGACACUGCAUAAAAACAUCUACAGAGGGUAUCCCUUCAUGCAGUCAUCCAGCCUAUACUGGAACAUCUUGAACAACAUGGAACUCACAGUCUGCCUAAAGACCAGGCUCUCAGUCACUAAGCUGCACCUCCUCUUGCCAUGUACUGGGUGAAUAAUUACCAUUAACUCUCUCACAUGUGUGUAUUUUACAAGGUUUAGACUAAGGUCUUUUAUAUUUUCGCUGACAUCAGUGGGAAGCUGGAAGGCACAACAAAGAAAUUAAUUUUGUUAAAAUUUCUUAUGGUAUUUGAAACCACCUUUAUAUAAAUCUUGUCUAUCCAGAACUCUGAUGAAAGAUGACCAUUUUAACUUUGUUUUCUGUUUGUUUUCGUAAAUGACUUCUGGUUAGUUUACCAAUAAUGGUGCUGAAAUGCCUGCAGGUGAACACAUCAUACAGGCUCUUUUGCUGUAUCUUUCAUUAGAUCUGAUCAAGUAAUAAAGAUGUCCUAAGAUGUGUAGGCUACUGCAUCCAUGGUCUAAAGUGUUUAUAUUUCAACAGGUUACUGAAUCAUAAAAUCUCUUAAAAGCAUAGCAUUCCAAGCUAGGCAUGCAUUUGCUACUAAAAUGCUACAUUUUAUUUGUACAAAAGAAAAAAGAAAUACAUAGUUUUCAAUUUUUUUUGGACAAAUUGAGAUAUAAAUCAAUUUUUUAAAAUUAAUACAAAUAAAUUAUCUCAAUCUCUUUAUUGUUACACUCAUGCUUGAGCUCUUAGAAGUCGUUUCAUGGGGUAUGUUUGUAUCUUUCUAGAAAAAUUAAAUUGUGACAUAUUGUAUGUUAUAAGCUUUGGGGAUCAUCUAGUUCCCUUCAGAUUAUAACUGCAUGCUACAGCAAGAUUAAAAGUAGGGAAAAUUAAAGCUAUCACCUGGUAUUAGGCAAUAUGAAUCCAGAUGUCCUGCUAAAGUUUUCACUUUUCAACUAAGUUUUUAUUAACAGGAUCAGCAAGGGAAGAAUGCAAAAUUAAAAACAUGAAUUAAUGCCUUCUUCUGAGUUACCCAGGAGAUUUUACCAUGGGUCUUGGAAUUGAUAUCCCUCACAGAUACAAAUUUAAAAAAAAAAAUCUACCCAUUGUACAUUUUUGAAAGUUUUAAAAAAAUCUUUUGGGGGGAGGGAGGCAAAUUUCUUACUUAAGUUGGUAUACUGGAACAUCUUUACUCUUGGAAGACAGUGAAUAAUAAACUAUACGACAAGUUGUGUAUAGGGAAAAAAUUAAAUCAGCUGAACAUGUCUACUUACUAUUGUACUUUUUUUGUCGGUAUAAAAGAAAAGUGUAGUUCCUCUCAACUCUGUCCAAUAAUGUUUAUACUCCUGCAGGAAAGAAAUUAUAAGCAUUAUUUCCUUAGUGUACAUUCAACUAUUUUCCUCUUGAUACUUCCCUUUGUAACUUUCUUAAUUGCUGUGUGGUAUAAGUUUCCUUUUUACUGUAAGAUAAAUCACCCACUUUUUAUGGCUUAAUGUAACAUUUAAUUCUUGGUUAAAUCCUUCACAAAUGUAUUUUAGUAUGAGGUGUGAUGUGGGGUUGUAAUUUGAUCUGUGUUUAAGUAGAUCAUUUUCCAAAACUUUCCUCAUUAAGAUGCUUGACUUUUUAUGCAGUUUCAGUGGAACCUUGCACCUGUAAGAGGGGCCUGUAUAAGGGGCCAGGUUAAGACAAGCAUUUAGUAUCUUCCUUCCAAGACAGUUGAAAGGACUGAGUGAAAUACACAUAAAUCACUUAGCACAGUACAUGGUUCAUAGUUUAGGUUUAAUAAACAGAAUAUAUAUUUAUAUAGGUCAAAGAAAUAUGAGCAAUUGAUAAUGAUAAAAAUAACAAUCAAAACUGAACUUUGAAGUUCAAAUUUCAUUCAUGUGGUGAACAUUUCAUUAUUAAUACAUUCACAUUAUUAUGAGUUCUAUAGAAAUACAAUUUUUUAAGUUUAAAAUAUUUAAAUUACCCAGUCAGACACUCACUCAAGUGAAAGGCUACCUAGAUAAGAACUUACAUUCUAUGAAGAUUGGCUGUAUUACAAAAGAAGGGUAAGCGGAUUUUAAGAAUACAAGAAAAUUCUUCCACAUAUAAAGACUUACCAUCAUACUCAGCUCUUUGCAAAAGUAUGUUUUAAAAACCUCCAGUCAGUUUCAUAGAAAUGUUGAUCAUUCCUUCCUUUAGAGUUUAAUAAGCUGAAUUUUCGUAACAUGUUGGGUUGUCUUGACUUACAUUGACGAUUAAUGUAAGAAAAUCAUAAGAAAUGUUUUUCUUUUGCUUAUAAAUAUGAAGACACUUAUAUAUUAUGAUAUUUUGUGUUUUUUUAAUACUGUCAUAUCAUUUAUCCUUCUUUUGACCAGCAAAAUAUUUGUCACCUCUUCAGAAUUUAUAUAUUUAUUUUCUCAAAUAAUGGGAAUUCUAUAACCCGUCUUACUUUUAUUUUCCUUGGCUCUCAUGAAGCCCAAGAUUAAAUUCACUCUGAAUUAUAGCAAGCAUCUUUCUCAUGUUCUUAAUAGAACUAUUUCCUUCUUUUGUUUUCA